ACGGCGAGUGAACAGGGAAAAGCCCAUGCAUGAAUCCCGCGGAGUGAAUUCGUUGGGAAAUGUAGCGUAUGGGUGCCUUUAGUGUCUUGGCUUGCUCACUUUAAAUGCACAUGACUGUGCUUGCCGUGGAGGGUGUAAGCCCCGUAUGGGUGAGUAAGACCUUGACUUAUGGGGUACUCGAGAGUCGGGUUGUUUGGGAUUGCAGCCCAAAUUUGGUGGUAAACUCCAUCAAAGGCUAAAUAUAACACUAGUCCGAUAGCGAACAAGUACCGUGAGGGAAAGUUGAAAAGGACUCUGAAGAGAGAGUCAAAAGUGCGUGAAAUCGCUUAAAGGUAAUCAGAUGGAGCUGAAAACGAGUGUAGCAGUGCUGGAUUACUGUUUUAACUGGCGACAGUGAGUACUGUACAAGCUUUUUACGCUGUACAGCUUACUUGUAUGUCAGGCAGAGUCCGAAUGCACUCUAUGCUUGUGCCACGAACAAUGCGAUGUGCUGCUACAAUACUGAGAAAGGUAGCGCUGUUUCUUCGGUAAUGGCGUGUUAUAGUCUCUGGUAUGUGGUAAGCAUGUUGUAUUGGCAGAUGUGUUGGGAUGUAGGAUGCAUUUCUGCCUGUCAUGUGUGUUCAGUGGAAGGAUUAGUUCGCUAAACCCCCGCUUAGCACAUUUGACUAAGUGUAGAUCUCUGCUUCUGCAUUACCAAAAUAUUCUGUGGCUAAUAAGAAGUAAGUAGUCCAUCUGACCCGUCUUGAAACACGGACCGAGGAGUUUAGCUUAUGCGCGAGUCAAUGAGUUUAACGAAGCUCAAAGGCGAAGCGAAAGUGAAGAUCCAUUUUUUUUGGAUUGAGAUGGGAUGUGUGGCUGUCAUUAGCUGUGUUUGCAGCGGGCUGCAUCGCACCAUCGGCUCAUCGUAUUUCAUUUUCGGAUGAAGCGGUGAAGCAAGAGCGCAUAGGCUGAGACCCGAAAGAUGGUGAUCUAUGCUUGUGUAGGAUGAAGCCAGGGGAAACUCUGGUGGAGGUCCGUAGCGGUUCUGACGUGCAAAUCGAUCGUCAAACAUGAGUAUAGGGGCGAAAGACUAAUCGAACCAUCUAGUAGCUGGUUCCCUUCGAAGUUUCCCUCAGGAUAGCUGGCAUUGAGGAACAGUUUUAUCUGGUAAAGCAAAUGAUUAGAGGUAAUGGGGGAGUAAAUCCCUCGUCCUAUUCUCAAACUUUAAAUGGGUAAGAUGUUUUACUCUCUUAUUUGGAGUGAGACAUAGAAUGUUGAAUGCCAAGUGGGCCAUUUUUGGUAAGCAGAACUGGCGCUGUGGGAUGAACCAAACGUGAUGAUAAGGUGCCAAACGUGACAC
rnacentral:rRNA from 1 species